CUUGUCUGUUCUCAAAGUUGUGAUUUCCGCUAGUUUGGUAUGAGCGGCAGAGGUGAGGAGCUCUGUGUUUUAGAUGAAGCGAUUUACAGUUUAGAAGAUGCUUCAGAGCUCAAAAGGUUUCUCAGCUUAUCCUGGAACAGGAUAACUCCAGGUGUGCAGGGAGCCAGGCAGGAAAUAUUACAUCUCUCUCUCUCUCUCUCUCUCUCUCUCUCUCUAUCUAUCUAUCUAUCUAUCUCUCUCUUCUUGUCCUCUCUUUCCUCCUCUGCCUGGUCUCAAAUGCAUAGCCUUGUGCUUGACCUUCAACAGUGUGCUUUUUCCUCCCUCUGGAAACAUCGCUCAUCACCACAAACACUACAUGUGAAAAGCAUUUUCUUCGGUCUCAAAUGGUUGCUUGACUUUGACCUUUUGUGUCCAAAGGAAGAACUUUGUAUAUUCCAAACAUUUACUUGUUUUGUGAAUUGUCAAGAAGGCUGUGGCACUUUGGGAUGCAGGUUUCAAUCUGAUGUGCGUCAUGUCCCAUUCCUCUUGCUUUCUUCCUGUAUUUUCCUGUUUUCUCUUUACUGUCAUAUCAUAAAAGAUACAAAAGCCCAUAAAAAAAUCCAGAGGGGGUGUUUGUGGUCCUUUCGAAAAUUUCAGUAAAAAGCUUAACAUUCAUUUGAAAUCAUUACUGUAUCUUUUUACUUUGUGAUGACUGGUCAGAAAUCAUGAUAUUUACUGUCAAUUUUCUAUCGACAUCCCAGGAAAAAGAAUCAUAUCUUUUUCUUGAGCUUUCAAUAGAAAAAUGCCUUAGAUUUUUUUCUUAAAACAAGUUAAAUAUUUUCCAAAUAAUAUUUUACUCUUUUUUUUUGGCAUUUAAUUUAUUUCAGUUUAUUUUGAUUAAGUACAAUAACAAUACAAAAGUCAAUUGUUUACUUGUAUUAUAAUUUUUAUCAUUUUGAAUUUAAUGAUUUUAAUUAUUUCAUUUACCACAUGUUGUGUACAUAAUAUCAUGCUUACUAUUUUUCCAACACAGUAUAAAUGCAUCUUUACAUGAAAAUAUGAACUACCAUUUAAAGGUUUGGGGUCGGUAAGAUUACAAAGAUUCUUUUUUUCUCUCCAAGGCUGCAUUUUUUAUCAAAAUACAGUAAAACAGUACAAAAAAAAGCUUUCAGCAAUAUCAAUUUCCAGCAGUCGUCACUCUUAUCAUCAGUGUCACAAAUUCCUCAGAUUCAGAAAUCAAUCUUAUUUGCUGAAACAUUUCUUAUUAUCAGUUGUUUUUUUUUUUUUUUUUUUUGUAAAUCAUAUGUGAAUAGAAAGUCCAAAAGAACAGCAUUUUUUAAAUAUAUAUUUGUAACAAUGUAAACGUAUUUACUGUCACUUUUUAUCAAACUAAUUGCUGAAUAAAAUAAUUAUUUAAAAAAAAAUCUUACUAACC
ensembl:lncRNA